rnacentral:rRNA from 1 species
GACGAACGCUGGCGGCGUGCUUAACACAUGCAAGUCGAGCGAGGCCCCUCCUUCGGGAGGGUGUCCUAGCGGCGAACGGGUGAGUAACACGUGGGCAACCUGCCCUCAGCUCUGGGAUAACUCCGGGAAACCGGGGCUAAUAUCGGAUACGACCUCCACGGGCAUCUGCGGAGGUGGAAAGUUUUUCGGCUGAGGAUGGGCCCGCGGCCUAUCAGCUAGUUGGUGGGGUAGUGGCCCACCAAGGCGACGACGGGUAGCCGGCCUGAGAGGGCGACCGGCCACACUGGGACUGAGACACGGCCCAGACUCCUACGGGAGGCAGCAGUGGGGAAUAUUGCGCAAUGGGCGAAAGCCUGACGCAGCGACGCCGCGUGAGGGACGAAGGCCUUCGGGUUGUAAACCUCUUUCAGCAGGGACGAAGCGAAAGUGACGGUACCUGCAGAAGAAGCACCGGCCAACUACGUG